GACCCAGAACCGUGAGGAAAACGGCCCCUUACGGAUCGGGCACUACACACUAAAGGAG
rnacentral:ncRNA from 1 species